rnacentral:lncRNA from 1 species
AUUUUCCCUCUAUGCCUAUUUGAUUAGUCAUUUAUCUUUGUUUCUUGUGCCCAUCUACUAUCUGUUUAAGUAGUAUUAUCUAUAGGUUUUAUCUAUAGGCUUGACCUUAUAUACUCCUCAAUCAUAGUUCAUUUUGCUAUCAUACUCCUGGGUUCCGGACUGUGAGAUAUACGGUGUAUGUGGGCAGUAUCGUAUAUCUUAUAAUUCGUCUAUCAAUCUACUGCUUCUAUGCGUACGCACAUAGCCUACCCAUUUGCUGCUUCUACGUGUAUGCACGUAGCCUUUUCUGCUGUGUCACACUGCUGUGACAAUAUCAUACCUCUGUGGCUCCGAUCCACUUUCACUCACAUACUACUGCUUCCACGUGUAUACGCAUUAGCCCGGGUCAAUUGGUAUCAUAGCCAUUUUUCGUGUCGGAGACGGGAUUUGUCAAUUUUUUUAGUCGUAUAGAGAGUGGAUCGGACAGCGAGCGCGGUAAAUCCCGUGUUAGCUGAGGAAGGUGUUUGGGGUGGUAAGUCGCAAAUAGACUAUUGGUGUCGUCUCAAUGGCUAGUAUCCUUAGAUCUUUUGCUGAACUUCUGAUAACUGAUUCUGUUCUGUAUCUUACUAUAUUUGAAAUAGGUAAAAUGUCUAUCUGCAUUAGAACUGAUCUUGAUCUAUGUUUAUAAAAUAUUUCUAAUCAGCAAAAUGAUUAAAACUCUAGUAACUCUAUAAUAGUUAAUUAAUAGUUUAGAUAUCUAUAAAAAUUAAUUAGUAGUAUAGAUGUAUAUUUUAUAGAAUUUAGUUUAAAAUAGAAAUUAGAGUUAACACUUUCUAUGAUUCUUUAGGUAGACUAGUUAAGUUAGAAAUAUAUUUAACAUAUAUUUAGAUAAUAGUUAGCUGAUUCUCUGAAUAUAGUAAAAUGGAUGAAGAUCUUGAAGCCUUUGAUGUUGAGGACUGGAAUCAAAAUGAUAUACAAGAUGAUAUAGAAUCCGUCUAUCCUGAGGAAAUAGAAGAUAAAUUCUAUCUUGAAGAAAAUAAUAUAGAAAUAUUCUCUUCAGAAAUAAUUGAAGAAUCUGAUGGAGAAGAUGAAAAACAGUCCUUUGAUUAUUAUCUCC